GGGUUAAGUCCCGCAACGAGCGCAACCCUUAUCAUUAGUUGCUACGCAAGGGCACUCUAAUGAGACUGCCGGUGACAAACCGGAGGAAGGUGGGGAUGACGUCAGGUCAUCAUGGCCCUUAUGGGUAGGGCUACACACGUCAUACAAUGGCCGGUACAGAGGGCUGCCAACCCGCGAGGGGGAGCUAAUCUCAGAAAACCGAUCGUAGUCCGGAUCGCAGUCUGCAACUCGACUGCGUGAAGUCGGAAUCGCUAGUAAUCGCGGAUCAGCUUGCCGCGGUGAAUACGUUCCCGGGUCUUGUACACACCGCCCGUCACACCAUGGGAGCGGGUUCUGCCAGAAGUAGUUAGCCUAACCGCAAGGAGGGCGAUUACCACGGCAGGGUUCGUGACUGGGGUGAAGUCGUAACAAGGUAGCCGUAUCGGAAGGUGCGGCUGGAUACGCCUCCUUU
rnacentral:rRNA from 1 species